AUGGACAAAAUUCCACGAGUGUCUACCUGGGUCCUAUCUCAUCACGAGCAGCCUGAUCACCAUCAGUUCUCCAAAACCUCCAGCCUCGCCUCAACUCCAAGCCUCGCCACCACUUACCUCAAGCCCCGGUUCCUCUCCACGCCAUUACCACAACUCCAAGCCACGUCACUGGUCCUCGUCCAGAACAAUAAAUCAUCUUAUUCUCCAUCUAAUUCUCCUGUGCUCUUUCCGGGUUCCAGCGUCUGGGUCUGCUCAGCCGAAGCAGAUCUUGACAAUUAAGUCAGAUUUGUGAAUUUAUGUCUGAGGAUCUCCUGAAACUGUAAAUCAACAGGUCUGUGUGAUCUGUGAUUCCUGCAGAGCAAAUUAUUGGUAAAAAGUGUGAUUUUCUUUAAGAGCUGUUUGUUAAAACAAAACAAAAGAUUUAAAGCACAUGUUUUAUGCUUCACAAGUGUUUGGGAUUAGAUGAACAGCAAUAAGAAGCAAAAGAAUGACGGUUCACUAAAGGAGACUCAAUGUAUUUAGCAGAAGCAUUUUUAACUUUUGUUAAUUUUCAGUCUCUUAUGUUUUAGAACUCCUUAUUUAAAAAAAUCCCUCAUGAAAAAAUGCUAUUUUCUCUUAAUAUUUCAACAUUUACUGAUCAAAAUAAAACAAUAGUUCAGGUAGAAAUUAAAAAGUGUUACUUCCUGCUGGACGGAGUCGGAGCUCGAAUGUUUUUAUAUUAUUUUUCUGCUGCAGACAUUUUAAACAUGUUGGUCACUACACUGACAUGGAUAAAUACAAAAUCCUGUUUUAUUUUAGCUGCUUUGAUGCUCUUUCUUGGUUUUACUCAGAGAGAAACGGGCCAGAAUGGUUGAAAACUGCAGAAUCCUGUUCGAACAGAACCAACAAAGUCCAAAGUCCAACUCUGACUCCAAGCACCAUCAGUAUGAGACAGAGACACCUGAUUGGUUAGAAUUGGACCAAUCAGCCGCUGUUUGAUGGCAGCUUUGUCACUCAAACUGAAACUAAUGUCAGCAAAAAUCAAAGAUAGGAAAAAAGUGAGAUGACACACAACGCAUAUGAAAACAUGUGUUUUGCAAACGCAAAAAAGUUUUUGAAAACAAAAAAAUUAAAAAUUAAAGCAAAAUAAAAAAUAAUCAAAAAGUAAAUAUUUUAUAUUUUGACUUGCAACUUAGAAAGUUUUGUGUGCAGUGUGGUGUUGAUUUUGCGUGGUGCUUUCAAAUAAUGUGUACAUUUUUGGCGUGUAGUGUUGAUACGCAGCAGGAUCUCAGAUUGAUCUCUGGUUGGUUCAACAUUGAAACUGGGCGUCCCCGCUCUGCAAAGUGUUUGAUGUGAGGAAAAUAGAGCCCAAUGCCUCCCAUACUAGACACUCAGGAUUAAGGGGUUGGAUUGGGGGUUUACCACCAAAUGCUAUGUCUGCAGCUCACUGCUCUCCCAGGGGGUGGGUCAAAUGUGGAGAAAA
rnacentral:lncRNA from 1 species